UCCUCCUCCUGUCCGGGAGCUGAGUGGCACGAAGCAAGAAGCCGCCCCCCGGUUUGUCGCAGUUCUUCAGUGGGUGUCCGGAGCCGCGAACUCACCGCUCGUGUUGAGCGUUUUGUUGGCAGACCAUGGGCUUGGCGGCAGUAAAGGUCUUGUUGCUUCCCAGCAGGCUCGAAGCAUUGAAACCGCCACCUGGGACACACAGCUGCUGGAGCUUCACCUAAA
rnacentral:lncRNA from 1 species